rnacentral:rRNA from 1 species
UACAGAGGGUGCAAGCGUUAUUCGGAAUUACUGGGCGUAAAGCGUGCGUAGGUGGUUUUUUAAGUCCGUUGUGAAAGCCCUGGGCUCAACCUGGGAAUGGCGGUGGAUACUGGAAAGCUAGAGUGCGGUAGAGGGUAGUGGAAUUCCCGGUGUAGCAGUGAAAUGCGUAGAUAUCGGGAGGAACACCUGUGGCGAAAGCGGCUCACUGGACCACAACUGACGCUGAGGCGCGAAAGCUAGGGGAGCAAACAGG